GCGGGAUUGACGGAACGGAAGACGUAGGAGGCUCAGAAUCUCCGGAGGUAGUACUCAUAAGGGUUCAAAUCCCUUAUCCCGCA
rnacentral:tRNA from 1 species